GACGAACGCUGGCGGCGUGCCUAACACAUGCAAGUCGAACGAAGCUUGACGAAUGAUUUCUUCGGAAUGAAAUCUGAUAUGACUGAGUAGCGGACGGGUGAGUAACGCGUGAGCAACCUGCCCUUCGGAACGGGAUAGUGUCUGGAAACGGACAGUAAUACCGUAUAACGUAUUUUUACCGCAUGAUAGAAAUACCAAGACUGAGGUGCCGAAGGAUGGGCUCGCGUCUGAUUAGAUAGUUGGUGGGGUAACGGCCUACCAAGUCGACGAUCAGUAGCCGGACUGAGAGGUUGAACGGCCACAUUGGGACUGAGACACGGCCCAGACUCCUACGGGAGGCAGCAGUGGGGAAUAUUGCACAAUGGGGGAAACCCUGAUGCAGCAACGCCGCGUGAAGGAAGACGGUUUUCGGAUUGUAAACUUCUGUUCUUAGUGAAGAAUAAUGACGGU
rnacentral:rRNA from 1 species